UACGGGGGGGGCAAGCGUUGUUCGGAAUUACUGGGCGUAAAGGGCUCGUAGGCGGCCAACUAAGUCAGACGUGAAAUCCCUCAGCUUAACUGGGGAACUGCGUCUGAUACUGGAUGGCUUGAGUGUGGGAGAGGAAUGCGGAAUUCCAGGUGUAGCGGUGAAAUGCGUAGAUAUCUGGAGGAACACCGGUGGCGAAGGCGGCAUCCUGGACCAACACUGACGCUGAGGAGCGAAAGCCAGGGGAGCUAACGGG
rnacentral:rRNA from 1 species